CCAAUUUAUUAUUAACCGUCCAUGAGACUAGUUCUUACUUUUCUCUUGUGAAUGUUGAGUAAAAAACAUAGAACUUGUCAUGUCUGGGGAGUGCAUUCAAACGAUGCUUAACGUUUGUUUUUUGUGUAAGUUGGAUUUAGACGCAAGAAUUUGAAAGUUUGCAGUCUUGUCAAAUUCAGUGUUUCCUUGACAAUGGACCGCCAUGACCAAAAUGGCUGCCACCGGGAACCUGUAGUCCAUGGGCCCUGCAUCUCUUUUCCAAUGGUUUCUGGGGAUAAAUGUGUACUACACCUUGGUUACUGUUGCUAACUCGGACAAGCUUUGCCUUUUUAUUUUCCUGUGAAAAUGGAGAAGCGUAUCGUAAUAACGCUAAGGGAGCUCCCCAAUGAGGUACUAAGUUACUUUUGGAGACAACCAUCACUUAUAUCAGGUUGGAGCAAACUAAAGGAUCUUCAGUAUGCCUUUUGAAGGCUAUAUUCACGAAAAGUUAUGCAGGAACUUAACACAGCAAGCAGGAGGACUAGGUUAGAGGCAAAGUCUACAGGUCCCAGUGUAAGAGGGAGAAACCCCACUAGCUGACCAUCGAGGCAGAUGACAAAGGAGCAACAUUGUUCCUAAACUGCAGGCUCCACAGGUUACAGCUCGCAUGUUGUUGGGCUGAUCCACACCUUGGACCUCUGGAGAGCCCCAGAUGAAAUGUCCACUACAAGCUUGCCACAACAGUUGCAUAAGCCAAGAGGCAAGAAGAUUGAUUCCAAGCCUAUUACAGUGGUCGGGGUGGCAAAGGCAAAAGUGAGUCGGAAAAGAAGACCAGUCUACUGCAGCUACAACUGACAGCUCCCACUAUUGGAGAACAGCACCACCACCAUCCUCUUCCAACCCUACGGAUGAGUUCCCAACAUUUCCUCUGCCGCCAACAACCAAGAUGUUUCUCUACAGUUCUGAAUGAAAAUAAGAUAUUACAACAGUGAUAUAAUGAUCUCCCAGUCUGAAGCAGAGGCACUGGAAAAAAAGAUGACAGAGCAGCAACACCAGCCAUGGCGUCUGCUCCCAGCCACUUACUUCAUCGUAUUUUUAAGAGGGUGUGCUCCAAGGUAGCAGACUGACAGUCUUGCCACCAGCAUGCAGAGGAAGAAGACCGUGCAGACCAAGGCGAUGACGAUAGACCUUGAGCUGCUUGCAGCAGCACCGUAUACUGAGUCACUGGGCACAAAGUGUUCCCAUGUGGCUUUGUCAACCUCCACUCCCUCCAUUUAGGCACAUCUCCUGACAGGAAAGUCUCGAGUAAUGAGAACCCAAGCCACAGCUUCUGGAAAUAAAGUGCCCAGACCAAGACAACUUUACUGGUAGUAAAUAUCUCUGUCAAAGAGCUGAUGGUACCUAUGCUUACAAACCUAAACAUGAGUUCCACUACCAUAUUAUGGGACAAAUGGGAAUCACAGGGAUGCCGUGGUGUGAUUUUUAUUUGUCAUGUGUAAAAAUGACUUUCACCUGGAGUGUGUCCACUUUAAUGCAGAAAAGUGGGAUAGCAUGAAAAGCCAGCUGGACUGCUUAUUUUUUAAGCAUUUCUUGCCGGCCCUGUGCAGAUAGUUCAACAAAGGAGGAAUUAUCAUCUCCGGUAUCCUCUGGUGAUUUGGUUGCUGUCUCUCCUGUGGUGUUAGUGGAAGCUGCAUCUUGCACAGGGCUCUACGCUGACGUUUUCUUACAAGGAGCACAUGUGUGCCUUAUUUAUUUUUUAAAUAGGCGCACACAAAUUUAGGAGCACAAUGAAAAAUGUGAGAUGUUGAAGCUAGAAUCUUUAAUUUUUCUAAGCGCACUGGAAUUCCAAAAUAAAAAUUACAAGUCGCACAGCAAAAUAUUUAAGCGCAUAUGCAAGUUAAAUGGCCGCACUGUAGAGCCCUGUUGCACAUCAGAUCUUAAUCUGUAGAUACGGGAUGAUACAUGUAGUGUUAUUCAUUCAGAUAUUCAGUGUUAGGGUUAUAUUGUUUCAGUGGUCUUCUGAAUCAAAUGUGUAAAUCAGACAUCUGUUGCCUACAUUGUACUUGUGAUUACAAUUACUUAUGUAUGAGUUAUGUAAGUUGUGUAUAAUUUAUGUACAAAGCCUCCAUAUGUGAGAUACUUGCCCUUUUGGUGUCUGUCGAUAUUUGGCAAUGUAUGAUAGGUUUGGUAAAACCUGAUAUUACAGUACAGCAGCUGGAUUUGGGUACUGAAGACUUGGAUUCCCAUCAACACAUUGCUGAACGAAAUUAGCCAAAGAUUUGUGAUACAUGUAGUCUAACAAAGCUAACUAGCUAGCUAAUGUUGUUGACAAGAUAGCUAGCUAAGUUAGCAAUGUUUAGCUUAGUUGUGUAAUGUUAAAGUUGUUGCUGACUUUGUCUAGCCAGUUUUUUUUAUAAUAAAUAUAUUGUGAUAUCACGCAUUAUGCAAAAGAUUAACAUAGUUGCUUACCUUGGAGCAAACAUAUAUGCAUCCUUCGUUAUCUUGCUUGUGUUAAACUGUGUAUGAAGUUGCCGAGUGGUUGGUUGGUUGCGGUUAUUGUGCUCUGAUUGGACAAUUGCUGUUCGAGGGCGGAGUUUAGUGAAGGGUUAAUUAGGCCUAAUACAAUUACCAUUAUUGUCCAUUUGCACAGAUUGAUAUUGUUGGUGGAUGAUUUCAGUGAUAUGUUAGGGUAGCUAAUGUUAGGGUAGCUAAUACCUCCCAGUUUCAGAAUUCUUUUCCAGUUACAUGCCUUCUGAACAUGGUAGUAUUUGUAAUAAAUACUGAAUACUCUUGUCCCUCCUCCUGUGCGUGU